AGUGAACGCUGGCGGUAGGCCUAACACAUGCAAGUCGAACGGCAGCACAGUAAGAGCUUGCUCUUACGGGUGGCGAGUGGCGGACGGGUGAGGAAUACAUCGGAAUCUACUUUUUCGUGGGGGAUAACGUAGGGAAACUUACGCUAAUACCGCAUACGACCUACGGGUGAAAGCAGGGGAUCUUCGGACCUUGCGCGAUUGAAUGAGCCGAUGUCGGAUUAGCUAGUUGGCGGGGUAAAGGCCCACCAAGGCGACGAUCCGUAGCUGGUCUGAGAGGAUGAUCAGCCACACUGGAACUGAGACACGGUCCAGACUCCUACGGGAGGCAGCAGUGGGGAAUAUUGGACAAUGGGCGCAAGCCUGAUCCAGCCAUACCGCGUGGGUGAAGAAGGCCUUCGGGUUGUAAAGCCCUUUUGUUGGGAAAGAAAAGCGGCAGGUUAAUACCCCGCUGUUCUGACGGUACCCAAAGAAUUAAGCACCGGCUAACUUCGUG
rnacentral:rRNA from 1 species